GUGGGGAAUAUUGGACAAUGGGCGCAAGCCUGAUCCAGCCAUGCCGCGUGAGUGAUGAAGGCCUUAGGGUUGUAAAGCUCUUUCAGUGGGGACGAUAAUGACGGUACCCACAGAAGAAGCCCCGGCUAACUUCGUGCCAGCAGCCGCGGUAAUACGAAGGGGGCUAGCGCUGUUCGGAUUUACUGGGCGUAAAGCGCACGUAGGCGGAUCGUUAAGUCGGGGGUGAAAUCCUGGAGCUCAACUCCAGAACUGCCUUCGAUACUGGCGAUCUUGAGUCCGGAAGAGGUGAGUGGAACUCCUAGUGUAGAGGUGGAAUUCGUAGAUAUUAGGAAGAACACCAGUGGCGAAGGCGGCUCACUGGUCCGGUACUGACGCUGAGGUGCGAAAGCGUGGGGAGCAAACAGGAUUAGAUACCCGGGUAGUCC
rnacentral:rRNA from 1 species